AAUUUUGCACAAUGGGGGAAACCCUGAUGCAGCGACGCCGCGUGAGCGAAGAAGGCCUUCGGGUCGUAAAGCUCUGUCCUAAGGGAAGAUAAUGACGGUACCUUAGGAGGAAGCCCCGGCUAACUACGUGCCAGCAGCCGCGGUAAAACGUAGGGGGCGAGCGUUGUCCGGAAUUACUGGGCGUAAAGGGUGCGUAGGCGGCUAUUUAAGUCAGAUGUGAAAGGCUACGGCUCAACCGUAGUAAGCAUUUGAAACUGAAUAGCUUGAGUCAAGGAGAGGGAAGUGGAAUUCCUGGUGUAGCGGUGAAAUGCGUAGAUAUCAGGAGGAAUACCAGUGGCGAAGGCGACUUCCUGGCCUUAGACUGACGCUGAGGCACGAAAGCGUGGGGAGCAAACAGG
rnacentral:rRNA from 1 species